rnacentral:rRNA from 1 species
AGUGAACGCUGGCGGUAGGCCUAACACAUGCAAGUCGAACGGCAGCACAGUAAGAGCUUGCUCUUACGGGUGGCGAGUGGCGGACGGGUGAGGAAUACAUCGGAAUCUACUUUUUCGUGGGGGAUAACGUAGGGAAACUUACGCUAAUACCGCAUACGACCUACGGGUGAAAGCAGGGGAUCUUCGGACCUUGCGCGAUUGAAUGAGCCGAUGUCGGAUUAGCUAGUUGGCGGGGUAAAGGCCCACCAAGGCGACGAUCCGUAGCUGGUCUGAGGGGAUGAUCAGCGACACUGGAACUGAGACACGGUCCAGACUCCUACGGGAGGCAGCAGUGGGGAAUAUUGGACAAUGGGCGCAAGCCUGAUCCAGCCAUACCGCGUGGGUGAAGAAGGCCUUCGGGUUGUAAAGCCCUUUUGUUGGGAAAGAAAAGCAGCAGGUUAAUACCCCGCUGUUCUGACGGUACCCAAAGAAUAAGCACCGGCUAACUUCGUG